GCCCCGGUAGCUCAGCAGGAUAGAGCAGCCGCCUCCUAAGCGGCAGGUCGCAGGUUCGACUCCUGCCCGGGGCGCCA
rnacentral:tRNA from 3 species